ACGGCACGCUGCACGAGUGUUUGUAGCUUGCUAGCCUGCUUAGCACUGCUUAUUCUUAUUCUUAUAUGUUCAUCAUUUUAUCCUUUGCCAUUUUACUGCCUGGUUCAGGGAUUAUUGCAUCAAUCUCAAACAUCUGCUAAUUAGGAACCACAUCGAUCUCUAACCUUCGCUGCUUAAGAACAACCACAACAGCAACAAACAAUUGCGGAGGUUACCAGAGCCAGCCAGAUCCAGCUCCGCUCCUGUUUGGUGUCAGACUCCACUGCUACAUGUCGCUGAAAGAUGACGACAAACUACAGCCGGUGCCAGCCAGACAUCACUUCAGUCUUUUGACUUAAGAGGAUGAACUGAUGCCAACUCCAACUGUAUGACAUGGGAUACUUCAUAUGCUACUGCCUGAACCUUGGAUUUAGGAUAUACCCCACCUACACUCUUGAAAUGGAAUACAUAGACUAUCAUUUAAUUGCCAACAAAAGCCUUCAUCAGCCAACUAACAAAGGACAAUGCAUCUAUGCGAACUUCUGCAGUUAAUUGAGGAUGGACUUCAAAGACAUUAGUCAUUAAUCUUAAAGUUAUUAUUUUUUAUUAUUUAUUUUAUUUUUUUAAAUUUAAACAAUGGGCCUUAAUGCUUAAUUUACAAAUUUAAAACCAUGACUUGCACUGCACAAAAAUAACUAAUAUUGGCAUUAUAUUCAUGCUGUUAGCCAGAGGGCAACUGACCCCCACAGUGAGCCUGGUUUCUCCCAAGGUUAUUUUUCUCCAUUAACCAACAUCUUAUGGAGUUUUGUGUUCCUUGCCACAGUCACCUUCAGCUUGCUCACAGGGGUUCUAAAUACAAUUAUUAUUUAAUUAUUUAAUUUCUAUACACAAUUUACAAUCAUAUGUAAUCAAACUACACAAUGAUCACUCUAAGACUUUAUAGAUAUUACAGUUUCAUUUUUUGUUAAUGCAA